rnacentral:misc_RNA from 1 species
GCGAGUAUGGCCCUCACGGGUCUAAUCCACCAUAAACACCUUUGUGAACCAGGUCAGGGGGACUCGGCCGUGAAAGCCCAGGCGAUUAGCGGAAGGGCCCUCCUUUGCAAACCCGUUUAGAAGUCUUGAAAGUACUUUUGUAUAAUCUAGUA